rnacentral:rRNA from 1 species
UACGAAGGGGGCUAGCGUUGCUCGGAAUCACUGGGCGUAAAGGGUGCGUAGGCGGGGCUUUAAGUCAGGGGUGAAAUCCUGGAGCUCAACUCCAGAACUGCCUUUGAUACUGAAGAUCUUGAGUUCGGGAGAGGUGAGUGGAACUGCGAGUGUAGAGGUGAAAUUCGUAGAUAUUCGCAAGAACACCAGUGGCGAAGGCGGCUCACUGGCCCGAAACUGACGCUGAGGUGCGAAAGCGUGGGGAGCAAACAGG